rnacentral:rRNA from 1 species
CCCGACUGCUAUUUGGGUGAGAAUAAGCCAUGCGAGUUGAAUGGGAUACCUAAAGCUCCCAUAGCAAACUGCUCAGUAACACAUGAUCAACUUACCCUAUAGAGAAAAAUAACCUCGGGAAACUGAGGAUAAUAUUUCAUAGUUGAAUAGGCUUGGAAAAGUUUUUCAAUAAAAGGGAUAAAAAAAAUGGUUUUUAUCUGCUAUAGGAUAGGAUCGUGGACGAUUAUGGUUGUUGGUGAGGUAACGGCUCACCAAGCCGAUAAUCGAUAGGGGCCGUGAGAGCGGGAGCCCCGAGAUGGGUACUGAGACAACGACCCAGGCCUUACGAGGCGCAGCAGGCGCGGAACCUCCGCAAUACACGAAAGUGUGACGGGGUUACCCAAAGUGUUCAAUUCUGAACUGUGGUAGGUGAGUAAUGUUCCCUACUAGAAAGGAGAGGGCAAGGCUGGUGCCAGCCGCCGCGGUAAAACCAGCUCUUCAAGUGGUCGGGAUAAUAUUGGGCUUAAAGUGUCCGUAGCCGGUUUAGUAAGUUCCUGGUAAAAUCGGGUAGCUUAACUAUCUGUAUGCUAGGAAUACUGCUAUACUAGAGGGCGGGAGAGGUCUGAGGUACUACAGGGGUAGGGGUGAAAUCUUAUAAUCCUUGUAGGACCACCAGUGGCGAAGGCGUCAGACUGAACGCGCCUGACGGUGAGGGACGAAAGCCAGGGGAGCGAACCGGAUUAGAUACCCGGGUAGUCCUGGCCGUAAACGAUGCAUACUAGGUGAUGGUACGGCCAUGAGCCAUAUCAGUGCCGUAGGGAAACCGUUAAGUGUGCCGCCUGGGAAGUACGGUCGCAAGGCAAAAACUUAAAGGAAUUGGCGGGGGAGCACCACAAGGGGUGAAGCCUGCGGUUCA